UUUUUUGACUAGUGAAAAGAGAGUAACGACGGCAUCCCUAAUUCCAAAAGAAAAUGGCGGUAAUGCGUUGAAAUUAACUGAGUCUUCUCCAUAAGCUAACCUAGGGUUUGGCCUUUUUCACCAUCUCCACCACUGCAACAAUGUUCGGAGCUCAGCCCUCCUCCUCCGCCUUCGGUACUCCCUCUUCCACCCCAUCAUUCUGCACACCUUCGUCAACCCCUGCAUUCGGCACACCUUUGUCAACCCCAGCAUUCGGCACUCCGUCAACUUCAUCUUUUGGCACGGAUUUUGGAUCGACACUAUUUUCAACACCAUUUUCACAGCAGUCACAGCCACAGCAACAGCAACAAACUUCCUUAUUUCAAACACCUCAGAGUUCGGCCCCGUUCAGCUUUUCCACACCCUUGAGUACUGCUACGCAGGCCCAAUCCAGUCCAUUUGGUCAACCUAAUUUAAGUCCUGCCUUUCCAUUUGCAAAUGCUCAGUUGACUACUCAGAUGGCUCCCGUGGCUCCACUCCCCUUUUCUCUCGCUGAUAGGGAUAUACAAGCAAUUGUUGAUGCAUACAAGGAGGAGCCUGGUAACCCUAAGUAUGCUUUCAAGCAUCUUUUGUUCAGUGUGAUGGAACCUCAAUAUAGGACGAAACCUGCAGGUGUAUCUGAUAUUAUGUGGGCUGAGGCAAUGGGCAAACUUGAAGGCAUGGAAAGUACUGACCGUGAGCGCCUGUGGCCUCAACUUGUUCACGGCUUCAAGGAUCUCUCCGAACGGCUCAAGCUUCAAGAUAAAGUCAUAGUGUCAGAUGCUGAAAGGCUGCAAAUGACACAAAGCAAUGUGAAAAUGCUGCAAAGGCAUUUCCAAGCUGAUACCCUUCCUUGGAUUGAAAGAAUGAGACACAAAGAGCAAGGUCUUCAAAGACGCCUUUUGAGGGUGAUGAGAAUACUAGAGGCACUUGAAGGUAAAGGUUGUCGAUUGCCUUUGAUGAAAGGAGAAGCUGAAUUGGCGGAGAAGUUGACAGCCAUCAUGAGACAGUUGAAAGGUUCUGGAGCAGAACUUUCUAGGAGGGUUCAGAAUCUGCUCACCAUAUGUCGUGUUCAAAAUGGCCUUGGAGUUGGUUCUGUUUAUCUCUUUGGUUCAACUAAAAUCCAUGAGCAGAGUCUUGCUGACAUGCAGGAGGAAAAGUUUCAGGACUUCCUCCACGGACACCUUCACGAUCCGUGGAGGUCACUACGGUACGUUCCUUGGUCGUGAAGAUGAUCUUGACAGGAGGCUUGCAGAGGGGCUCACCAUGGAGGCCGUAAUGGACCGUGGUCCGCACUGUGGCUUGUGGUGGCCUCUCAUGGUUUCCACCUUAGAAACACAAAUGGCUGGCAUGGGCCACGAUGGACCUUCACGGCCCGUGGUCCUCUUCACGGCCCGUAGUGGGUCUCGUGAAGGCCAUCUGGUGCCAAAAGCUGCAAUUUUUCUGGUUUUGCAACAGCAAACUGAGGCUAUUGCUAGGCUUGGUAAUGUAUUGAAGCGAAAUAUCCGAGAUGUGGAGAUCAUAAUGGCCGAGGAAGUG